rnacentral:rRNA from 1 species
UAAUACAGAGGUCUCAAGCGUUGUUCGGAAUCACUGGGCGUAAAGGGUGCGUAGGCUGCAUGGUAAGUCAGAGGUGAAAUCCCGAAGCUCAACUUCGGAAUUGCCUCCGAUACUGCCAUGCUUGAGGACUGGAGAGGAGUCUGGAAUUCACAGUGGAGCAGUGAAAUGCGUAGAUAUUGUGAGGAACACUAGUUGCGAAGGCGAGACUCUGGACAGUUCCUGACGCUGAGGCACGAAGGCCAGGGGAGCAAACGGG